CCUACGGGCGGCAGCAGUGGGGAAUAUUGCACAAUGGGGGAAACCCUGAUGCAGCGACGCCGCGUGAGUGAAGAAGUAUCUCGGUAUGUAAAGCUCUAUCAGCAGGGAAGAAAAUGACGGUACCUGACUAAGACGCCCCGGCUAACUACGUGCCAGCAGCCGCGGUCAUACGUAGGGGGCAAGCGUUAUCCGGAUUUACUGGGUGUAAAGGGAGCGUAGACGGCGCUGCAAGUCCGGAGUGAAAGGCCGGGGCCCAACCCCGGGACCGCUCUGGAAACUGCCCGGCUGGAGUGCGGGAGAGGUAAGCGGAAUUCCUAGUGUAGCGGUGAAAUGCGUAGAUAUUAGGAGGAACACCAGCGGCGAAGGCGGCUUACUGGACCGUGACUGACGUUGAGGCUCGAAAGCGUGGGGAGCAAACAGGAUUAGAUACCCUUGUAGUC
rnacentral:rRNA from 1 species